GCACUCCACUAAUGUGAAACGCUCAAUUGUUAGAGACAAAUACUUAUACCUCUAAAUCUUUUGAACAGAUUUCUAUUAAUCUAUAUGCUUGAGAAAGAUAUGGAUAGGGUCUCAAGAAAAGAACAUCUGAAUAAUAAAGCUUUGAAGUUUUAAACUUCUUAAACCCUAUAUUCAUUUUUUUCAGAAACUCUUUCCAAAUUCUUUUCUUAACCACUUUAUUUUUAGUGCUUCAGAUAUCACAAAUAAAGCUAAUACGCUUUCAAAGUUAAUGCUUUUAGUUUACUUUUCAAUAAAGAAACAAGGCUCGUAUUGCUUGAUGUCACCUAUUAGAGUAUUAGUGCUUACGGUGGUUAAACCAACGUUUUGAUCUUUAUUGGCCUCUAAUAAACAGAUGCAAUUAUUGUCAUAGUUGUAACCCUUCAUUACUUCAACAAUAAAAUAGGCAUCUUGUUUAAUCACAAUUGCAUUAACUUGUAAAGUGCUAGCUUCUUGGGCAAACACUUGCAAGUUUUCAAAAUACAGCAAUAAUUGUCCCGCAAAGUUAAUAAAGGCUUGCUUUCAAAUGGUAUUGUUAUCUAUUUGU
rnacentral:sRNA from 1 species